rnacentral:lncRNA from 1 species
UUGUGAUCCUGAAUCAGCCGGAGAUUCCGCCGAUUCCGACUUCUGCUCUCCGGAAUCCGAUGGUGGCGGCGGUGAAGGUGAAGAAUUAGCGGAAUCACUACCAUCGUCACUAUCCGUCUUGACGUUGUUUCCACCGUCGUUGUUACUGGGAGGAGAGGCACCAGAACCGGAAUUCGAUCCUCCGCCGUCUCCUGACGGCGUCGGAGGAUUGGAACCCCCGCCGUCAUCCGGC